CUUAGGGUGAUUGUGGUGUGUCAAGGCUUGGGAGGAUCAUCAGAUCCUGAGAAGAGCAGAGGGAACCUCAAGUUGAGGAUCAAUAUGAAAGUUUGCCACUUUCGGGAUGUCACAGAAACAGAACCCAACAGUAUGUAACUCUUUGAGUUGGCUGAAC